GCAAGUCGAGCGAACAGAUGAGAAGCUUGCUUCUCUGAUGUUAGCGGCGGACGGGUGAGUAACACGUGGGUAACCUACCUAUAAGACUGGGAUAACUCCGGGAAACCGGGGCUAAUACCGGAUAAUAUAUUGAACCGCAUGGUUCAAUGUUGAAAGACGGUUUCGGCUGUCACUUAUAGAUGGACCCGCGCCGUAUUAGCUAGUUGGUAAGGUAACGGCUUACCAAGGCAACGAUACGUAGCCGACCUGAGAGGGUGAUCGGCCACACUGGAACUGAGACACGGUCCAGACUCCUACGGGAGGCAGCAGUAGGGAAUCUUCCGCAAUGGGCGAAGCCUGACGGAGCAACGCCGCGUGAGUGAUGAAGGUCUUAGGAUCGUAAACUCUGUUGUUAGGGAAGAAGAAUUUGUUAGUAGCGAACAAGUCUGACGGUACCUAACCAGAAGCCCGGCAAUUAUU
rnacentral:rRNA from 2 species